AUCUCUGCGUGACUUCCGCCAGCGUUUAGAGCGUUUUCGGGGUCCGAGUUGAAGAGCAAAACCAAGUGAAGGAAACUUCACUAAGUUCAGGGUGACAAGGGAGGAAGUACAGAGAAACAGAGCGCUUAAAAAGCACUGUCUGGAUAUCUUCAGAGGGAAAAAGGAGAAAGUUAACUGAAUUGGUGACACUUCGGGUCUCUCACAGAGGAAGGUAAGGUUUCAGUCAACAGCACAUAGAGGAUUAUCCUCAUUUACCCAGGACUGACAGUGUUUGUGAAUUCUAAAGCUGUGCAUGUAGUGAAUAUACAAGAUAAAAUUGAAAUGAGAAUAACGGAAUAGCAUUGUAGAAAUGAUUAAAAUGUACCCAAGCCCCAAGUUUUCAGAUAACAUGAUAGUUUUCUAAUGGUGAAACUGUUUAAGAUGUAUAGUCAUAAAAAAGAUUAAAAAAAAUAAGAAACAGUUGUAUAGCCAACUUUUAAUAAUCUGUGUUAUAGACUCCAUAGCAGAUCUGAAGGUAGCUAUAUGCCAGCAGCAGAAGGUGCACCCUGGAGCACAGUUUUGUAGCAGUUCUCCAAGCUGACCAGCUGAGGACUAGUGACCCUACUUAAGAACAGUUGGCUAAGAGGAUAGUCAAGUGAGGGGAAUGUGCUACAAGAGAAUCAUAGUAGAUAGAGAUGCAAACAAAAGGGAGAGUCUUUCUUCUUGUUCCUUUCUGAUCUGUAGAACCUGCAGGCCCACUGUAGAGCUCCCAUUGGAGUACAGUGGAGCAUGAAGAGAGAAUCCUUAGGAGAGCUUGUCAAGGAAUUUGGGGGAGGAGUGUGUUUGCAAACAUGGGGGAAAGUACUUAUUAAUCAUUUAGAUGUUCUGCAGGCAGAAAGCUUACUAGUGUAGUGUGUAGGGCUGCAAGCCACCAAAGUAAUGACUACUUGAAAGAGGACCAAUAGUUUCUGAAGCUCUGUGUGAAAAGAUACAGUGGUUGGGGUGGGGUGCGGAAUCUCUAGAGCAGCUCAUACAGCCACAGGGCAAAGAGAGGGAACCCCCACACGGAAAAAAAGAUUGCAGCAGGGAUGGAGAGCUAGUAGCUUUAGGAUGACUAGACACUUCUGAAAGUGAGCACUCUGUCCUUACAGAGACCACCAAACCAACAGAAGCCACCAGGACAGCACACAGCCAUUCCAAAAUUCCAGACCAGGAUCAUUCCAGAAAAGCCUUACAUCUCAGUCCAGUAUAUGGAUGGUUUUGUAAGAUGACCUAUGAUUUUUCUGUUCCUCCUUCCUGCCCCUAACUUCAGAGAAACAGACCUAGAAAGAGGGAAGGAAGGAGUGAAAAAGCGUGCCAUACUUUAUCUUCUCCCCUUCUGUUUUAAACUAGACAAAUCUAUAUUUUAAUUAUUAUAAGUAACCAGAAAGUUAUAUGGUCUGGCCAGGAUGGCAUUAAAGAAAAUGAGAGAGAAAAGUUUAAGAUAGCAUGGUUGGAGACAAUAAGUAGAAGAAACCAAGUAGUUCAAGUUUUAUAACGCUCUAUCUUAUAAACACUCUUGAACCAAUAAUAAUGCUAUUACUGAAAUGCUACACACAAUUGAAGACUACUUGUUAGACCAAGACCUUAAAAACUUCUUUACUGAUUAUUCCCAAUGUGUGGCCCUGGUAAUCAUUGAAGAAUCAUUGUAUUGACUAUUAAACAUCUAGGGAUCACCUGUUUAAAUCAAGUUAACAAAACACUUACUUAACAAAUAUAUAUUGAUUGCCUAUUAUGAAGUAGAUGCUAUAGUAGGUGCUGGCAGUAUAAACAUGAAAAGAGACAUUGUGUGUGCAUAUUAAUAUACAGCAAAUUAAACUUCAGCCAGAGAAGUACUUUACUAGAAGGUUGAUAGAAGUGUGGUGGUAGCUUGCAGGAGGAAGCAGUUAGCCUCCUUGGAAAUGAGUAAUCUUCACAGAAAGUAUGACAUUUGACCUGCUUCUUGGAGAAGAUGCAUAUUAAACCUAUUAAAUCCAUGUCAGCCUUUAACACCUUUGCUCAGAUUAGUUUCUCGAGCUGUUUUCCCACCUGGUGAGCAGAUAAGAGCAGGACAGGAAAGUUCUGAUGAAAGGAAGAAGUGCCAGAGAGAGAAGGCCUUGCAAGCAAAGAAGCCUGACAGGCAGGAGCCCCUGAGUAUCCUAAGGAGAAGUACCAGCGAUUUAGGGAAGAAAAUUGCUGCCAGAAGUGCAGGAAAUAAAAAUUCUGACCUAGAUCAUUUUA
rnacentral:lncRNA from 1 species